GUUUAUAUAAGCAUGUAUGUUUGUGUAUAUAUAUAUAUAUAUGUACAUGCAUGUUGAUUAUAUAAGAAUAAGCUUUGGCUGACAUAGUUGGUGAAUAAUAAUGACAAGAUUGAUUAUAUCAGGAAUCCUAUCUUCCUGAAAUAGUAUAGAAGCCAUGCUGCAUGGAAAAAGAGGAAUAAGCCCUAUGAUUUUUUUGGGUUCCAGCCAGAAUUAUCUUGCAAUACUGAAGUAUUCCUGGGAAUAUCAAAAUAACAAUAACAAAAAAACCAAUAAUAAUACAAUAAGAUAAAUAUCAGGAGGAAUACAAAAUUUGUAUCAUUUCAGCAAGUUGGUUAAUAAACAAUAAUUUUAACUUUAAAAAUUCCUUCAGGAUGUCCACUUGUCUGAGAUCAGUAUCAUUCUCUAAAUGAAGUUUCUGCUUGUUCAAAUGGAAAAGUAAAUGAAGUAAAAUCUUAUUAUUAUUAGGCAUUUUUCAUAUAUUGAGUUAUAUAAUAAGAAUUUUCCCUAAAUGAUACUUUCAUUGAAUAAUGUAGAAGCACAGUGACUUUGCACUUGCACUUAUAUUACAUUUGAUUUUCAUUCAUUUUGUGAAAUGUUAAAUUUAUUUGUAUUCACAGAAAAUUAUACUUUCUAUAUGCUUAGUAUCAUUCAAGAAAAUAGAAACAGAGAAGUGAAUAAAAGUAAAGCCCCUACCCUUAUAUAUCAUAUAUUCUGGAAAGAUUAGAAGUAAAAGUACAAAGUAAAUAUAAUAAAUCAAGUAGAUAACUGUUAGAAUGGCAAAUAAUUUCUGAUAAAAAUGUGUUAUCAACUUUUGUUUCAAUCUAGAUGGUAUAGUCUUGUCUCUUCCUAUUCCUUCCCACCAAGUACAACUACAAAACCUGAAAACAACUCAAGAGAUGCCCAAAAGAGAAUUCCAAAAGAUGGAAGAGAAAGUUGCACUGGUUUGAGACUCCAGGAUUACAGUUAAACAGUGUGUUUUUUUACACUUCACGGAAUGAGUAUUGACAUCAGCUGGUGGACAUGUCCUAGAGCUCCCAGUGCUACCACUGUGUUGAUGAUUCCAGCUUGACAUUUCUCGUCUGAGCUUCUUAUAGGCCUUAAAUUCUGAUUAAGUCAAGAUUCUUCGUAACAUCGGUAAUUUGGAAAUGUAAGUUGUUUCAUAGAUGGCAAAAUAUGAAAACCCGUGGUAGUCAAGUUAUCAUCUCCAGCUCUACUGAAGUCUAUUGCAAUGAUCGAACAAGAUUUCUUGAAGUGUUUUAUUGUAUGGACUUUAGGAGGGAUCUUUUCUCUGUUGAGUCCAAAAGAAAAUUAAAUGACUACUUUAAGAUGAAUGACCCUGAAGAAAGAGGGGUAGGUUCUGUUUCCAAUAAUGAAAGAUGCCAUGUGGUGCCAGAGCACUUGGAUGUACAGCCCUGAAGAGUUGCAGGAUGCAAAGGAAAGAAGCAGUGCCUCUAGGGAAUUGUGACUGCUGGUGCAAGACCUGUGAAAUCAGGGGAAAUAAAAGCAAUUUUACUGCAUUCCACAAAUAAAGGUAAGUAAUACUUGCAUUUAAAUAUUUUAAUCUCUCUUGAGACUUUGACCUAUAUGCAUUUAGAAGUGUGCUGUUAAGUUUUUAAACAUUUGGGGAUUUUGAGCAUUCUCUCUCUUACUGACUUCUAGUUUAAUUCCUUUGUGGCAUUCAAACAUACUUUAUAUGAUGUCUGUUUUGUUAAAUAUGUGAGGAUGUGUUUUGUGUCCCACUACAUUUUAUCUUGAUGAAUAUUGCAUGAGAGCUUGAAAAGAAUAUGUAUCCUACUGUUGUUGGAUAGAGUUUUCUACAAAUAUCAGUCAGAUCAAAUUAAUUGAAAGUGCAGUUUAGGUUAGGUCAAUUUUCUUACUGAUUUUCUGCUUGCUUAUCUACCAUUUACUAAAAGAGAGGUGUUGAAAUCUCAAUCAUAAUAGUGUUAUAUCUAAUUCUUCUUGCAGUUCUAUUAGUUUUUGCCUCACAAAUUUUGAUACUCUGUGGGUAGUGUAUUCACAUCAAGGAUUGUUAUAAUUUGAGGAGACUUAUUAUGGCAUUCCUCUAUUACUGAUAAUUUUCUUUUGUUCUGAAAUUGGUUUUAUCUGUAAUUAAUAUAACUACUUUUUCUCUUUAUUGGUGUUGGUAUAAUACAUACUUUUCUAUGACUUAAUUUUUUAAGUGAAAACUAUUUUUAGAGCAGUUUUAGGGUCACAGAAAUAUUUAGUGGAAAUUAGAGAGUUUGCAUUAACCUAUUGUACCCACACAUGCGUAUUCUUAGUAUUGACAUCCCAUUCCACACUGUUACAUUUGCUACAAUUAAUGAAUCCACACUGACCUGCCAUUAUCUCACAAAGUCCAUAGGGUUACAUUAGAGUUUAUUCUUAUUGUACGUUCUAUGGGUUUGGACAAAAACACGUAUUAACCACUAUAGUAUCAAAAAGACUAGUGUUUGUGUUCUAAAAAUUCUCUGUGGCCUGUUUUUCCCUCCCCUCCAACCUCUGGAAAUCCGUGUUGAGAAAUUGAAGCUGGUGUAUUAAGAAUAUGCAGAUCAUGACGUGCUGAAAGAGAAGAUACAAACCACCUACAAGGGGAUAGCAGGUAGCUACCUCAGUAUCCAAGCUCCCACUUUAUGGAAGUGAAACUCACAGGAUCUUUGUGGAGGAAGACACAGUUUCAGUACACCCACACAAAGAAAGUAGAGUCACAAGAUUUAUUACUUCCAUAUUCUGGAAUUGGAGGGGCACAAAUGAGCGGGGGAAAGGGCAAUCUUUCAUUCUAGGCCCAGAGGAAGCAAGAGAUAUACAGCAGGGUGUCAUGCACAUAUCACUUGUAAGGUAAUUGGGGCAGAAGUCACUAUUUU